ensembl:lncRNA
GGUCCUUGAGAAACAAAAGUUGUAUUUCAGGAUCUGCCAAAAGAAGAGGGGACCCUAGUAAUCAGGCGUUCACCUGGGAUCCCUGGAGAUGCACCAAGAGCACAACUUCAGAUCAACACAAUUCCCGAUUGGACUGCACUUAUCUGAUCCCAUGCUAGAUGCCUCACAGAGAAGAGGGGAGAGCCUCUUUGAAGAAAAAUAAUGGCAUCCAAGACCAUAAAAUUUUAAAGUAACAAUGUCUGGCAUGAAAUAAAAUACUAGGUGGACUCAUUCACGACUCACAUAUUGACCAGACACAAACCUAAAAAUAAUGACAAUUAUUGUGUUAAAGAACAUUGAAAUCAAGAUAGGGAAUUUUACCAGAGUCCUAGAUCUCCAAAAAAUAUCAAAUGGAAAUUCAGAAACUGAAAAAGCCAAUAAUAUGAAUUAAGCUGUAAAUAGAUGUAUUUUAUAGUUAUAUACAACUGAAAAGAGGAUUAGGAAAUAUGAAUGAUAUGGUAAAUAAAAUUAAACUUAAUUAACAAUACACCUAACAGUGGUAGAAUAUUCUUUUUCUCAAGUCAUAUUUGCCAAAUUUUUUCAAAAUUGAUAAAUUGCUAGGUCAUAAGUCUCAACAAAUUUCAAGGAUUGAAAUCAUGUUCUCUUAACACAAUGGAAUUAAACCAAAAAUAACACAAACAAAAAUAAGCACAAGAAAAUCCUCAAACUCUUAGAAGUUAAGCAAUUCAUUUUAAAAUAAACCCUCGGUAAAAAAAGAUACCAAGUGAAGCUAAAUGAUAUUUCGCACUUAAUGAAAAUAAAAAUGUGCUGUAUCAAAAUAUGUUGAAGGCUGCUAAUGCUGUACUUACAGACAAAUGUACAACCAUCAAAUCCUCAUGUCAAAGAAGCUUUAUUAAAAAAAAUAAUGCUUUCACUAUCCAGCUCAGAAAACUAGGGGAGGAAAAAAAAUUUCCAGCAAAUUAAACCCAAGAAUGUAGGUGAAUGGAAAUAAUAAAGGUAAGAGCAGAAAUUAAUAAAAUAGAAACUGUAAGUACAAUAGAGAAAAAUCAACAAAGCUGAAAUUUGUUUCUCUGAUGACUAAGUUAGUUUUUUUGAAGACUGAAAAAUAGAAAAAGAGUCCCCAUAAUCAAUAUCAGGAAUCAAAAAAAAAGGAAGUCACUACAGAUCAUAUGGAUAUUUAUAAGAUGAGAAGAGAUGUUGGAAAGAAAUUUAGGCAAGAAAUUUUUAUAACCUUUGAUGCAAUGGACAAAUCCCUAAGAAAAUAGUUUACCAUGACUGAUAGGAAAAGAAAAAUGUAACAUCGGAAUGCCUAUUUAAAACUUAAAUAUGGACUUAAAACUUAAAUUUGUAAUUAAAUACCUUCUUUCCACUAAGAAACCUCCAGGUAUAGAUAACUUCACUUGUGAACAUUUCCAAGCCUUAAGGAAUAUAUAAUCCCACUCUUACACAAAUACUUCCCAAAAUAGAAAAAGAGAAAAUACAACCCAAUUUGUUUUGAUAAGGCCAGCAUAGUCUUGAUAUCAAAGCCUAGCAAGAAGAGUAUAAGGAAAGAAAUUAUAGGCUGGUUUUUCUCAUGAACAUAGAUGCAUGAUCCUAACAAAAUGUUAGCAGAUUGAAUCCAGCAAUUUAUAAACACAAAACCAAAAACACAUUGUGAAAAGUUUGAUUUAUUCCAGAAAUGCAGGGUUGAUUUAACACUAUAAAAAUCAGUAAACCGAAAUUCCCCCAAAUUAACUGAAUAAAGGAGAAAAAAUAUGUCAGAUGCAGAAAAAGGAUUUGACAAAAUUCAAACCCCAAUAAUGAUCAAAAAGGAAAGAAUUUUACCAAAGUGGAUAUAGAAGGGAAGUUCCUUAAUUGGAUGAACAGGUAUAUAUAAAAAGACUUAAGUGUAAGCAUCAUACUUAAUUUUGAUAUAUAACAAGUUUUCUUCCUUAAGUCAAGAAUGAGACAAAGAUGCUAAUAUCACCAUUUUAAUUUAACAUUGUAAUAGAGGUCCUAGUCAUUACAAUAAAGCAAGAAAAAAAUAGAAUGAAUAGAAAGGAAGAAAUAAGACAAUCAUUAUAUAUAGAAUAUUCCAAAAAAUCUAUAAACUAUUAGAAUUUUUAAAUUAACUUAGGAUAUUAAAGAUCAAUACAAAAAUCUUCUUUAUUUCUCUAUGUUAGGAGUAAAGAAUUAAAGAUGAAAAAAUUAAAUAUAGGAGUUCCCAUAGUGGCACACCUCAUGGUUACUCAUUGGAUUUGUUUCCACUGGGCCACAGUGGGAACUCUGAGAGUAGCUAACCUUUAUCGGGCAUUUACAAUGGACCGGUAAGUACGCUGUGUACCAGUACCAGUAUGUGUGAUGUGCUGAGUGUCUGACAUGCUCUCACUCUCUUAAUCCACAAAAAUCCAUGUGAAACGGGUGCCCUCCUUCUUGCAAAGGCACACAUGAGAAAACCGGAGGCACCCAGAGGUAAAAGCAGCCUCCUCUGGUUCUCCAGCUAACAAAGGGUAGAUGCAGGGCUGAAACCCAGCAGGGUAUCUCUGGGGCCUUUUCUCCACAGGGAAGGUCUUCCUGGUAUGAGUUGGGCAUAAAGGACCCCCCUCCACCCCCUUUGUCUGCCAGGCUGCUCCCAGCCUCUUUCCCUAACCCUGUCUCCCUUCUUUUCUAACCUACUUACUGCAAGUUGUGAACAGGGCCAGUUGCCACUCCUUCCUCUUGCAACCACACCCAUGCCAAAGUUAAAGGGCCAUGAACAUUAGAGAAAUAAUCUCAAUUUUUCUCUCUCUCCAUCUCCCCCUCUCUCCAAUUUUCCCCUCUAGUCCUAGAUAGCUUUAGGGGGGAAAAAUGAGACUUGGAGUUCUUAUUUGCACAUCAACAUUCAGGAUGAUCUUUGAGCUCAGGUAUUGUAGUCCCAGCAUUUUGAGGGGUUUUUUUUGUUUGUUUGUUUUGUUUUGUCUAAAGUACAGUUGAUUGACAGUGUUAUGCCUAAAAAUGUCCAAGCAGUUUGAGUUUUGAGAAGCAGCUAAUCGCCAGAGUUGCCCUGUAAACUCUGAUGUUUUCCCCUUCGGGUUGCAAAGCUCUGCACUUUAACAUUUCCAGCCCUUAAAGAAGGGCUUUCAGCUGUGUCUAAUCUGCUACCAAGGCCGUUCAUUGAAUUUAUUAUAUUCAUUUUAAACAGAGUAAAUGAGUUAUUCUGGGCCAGAUAGUUUCAAUUAUCCGAAGCACUGGGGCAUUUGUUUCUGUCCUGUGUCAUUCCUGGUGAAUUUCACCUGUGAUGUCUUCUUUCCUUGAGUGUUUUGGGAACUUUGGCCGAUCUUUUGAGAGCGUUGUCUGUGCAGAAAAUUCUCACAGGCCUGAUUGGAAGUUGAGGUCCUCUGGAGAGAAUUAGCCCUCGCUCCUCAAAGUCACUGACCCUGGACCAUAUGAAAUUAAAAUUUCACCCUGCGUUUUCUAUCCCCGCCACCCUACACCCGGGUAGUGCGCAUUUAGGCUGCUGGUUUGUGGUUACCGGUUCUCCACGGGCAGAGCACGGGUGGGAGGCACUUAUUUCCCCCCCUUCAGCUCAAAGCCCCCUUCUGAAUAUCAGAGUUUCCUUCUCAUUCUUCCUUCCCUUAGGACCUUGACCCAGAGGCUUCCAGAUAAGUAGGGGGUCUGCUAUUAGACACCACCCCUCCCCAGCAGCCCUCUGCUUUAUCUUUUGUCCUCUAAACCUUUAUCAAAGCACAGAUUCUACAUCUCCGGGGUUUGAUCACACACCUGCAGGGCAUAAGUGUGAUUUGGUGGUAGCCUGUCUCCCAGGUCUCCCUUUUUCAUUUCCUUUGGGGUUCUGCCCAUCCCUUAAUUUAGUGCCUGCUCAGUACUGCAUUUAAAUGAAGGCAGUGUCUUUUUCAACAUUUGAUCUGGUUUUUUGGUUUGUGGGUCUUUCAGGAUAUCUUAUCAGUCACACCUCUGGAAACGGGGGCCCCAAAGCCUGUUCCAUUGAGCUUGAUUAUUUUCUGCCAGGUGCUAAGGAAGCCCAGGGUUUCAACUAGGGCUCUGAUUUCAUGAUGGCAUCAUUCUACAAGCUACCUACAAGUUACUAUUAGAAGUGAUCCUGGAGUUCCCAUUGUGGCUCAUCAGGUUGAGGACCCGACAUAGUCUCCGUAAGGAUGUAGGUUCGAUCCCUGACCUCUCUCAGUGGGGUAAGGAUCCGGUGUUGCCACAAGAUGUGGUGUAGGUCACAGAUGUGGCUCAGAUCUGGUGUCACAGUGGCUGUGGCAUGGGUGGCGAAUUCUGCUCGGAUUCAGCUCCUAGCCUGGGAACGUCCAUGUGCCACAGGUACAGCCA